UACGAACCGUACGAACGUUAUUCGGAUUCACUGGGCUUAAAGGGUGCGUAGGCGGCUGGGAAAGUUGGGUGUGAAAUCCCUCGGCUCAACCGAGGAAUUGCGCUCAAAACUACCUGGCUUGAGGGAGAUAGAGGUGAGCGGAACUGAUGGUGGAGCGGUGAAAUGCGUUGAUAUCAUCAGGAACACCUGUGGCGAAAGCAGCUCACUGGGUCUUUUCUGACGCUGAAGCACGAAAGCUAGGGGAGCGAACGGG
rnacentral:rRNA from 1 species